CGGUGUUUAACUGGCGUGAUGUGGGACGUCCUACCGGUGGGCUUAGCCUCGCGAGGGGCGGCCCAACUAAUAUCCCGUCGCGGUGCUCUUUACUGAGUGUCGAGUCGGGCCGGUACGUUUACUUUGAACAAAUUAGAGUGCUUAAAGCAGGCUAUCCUCGCCUGAAUACUGCGUGCAUGGAAUAAUGGAAUAGGACCUCGGUUCUAUUUUGUUGGUUUUCGGAACCCCGAGGUAAUGAUUAAUAGGGACAGAUGGGGGCAUUCGUAUUGCGACGUUAGAGGUGAAAUUCUUGGAUCGUCGCAAGACGGACAGAAGCGAAAGCAUUUGCCAAAAAUGUUUUCAUUAAUCAAGAACGAAAGUUAGAGGUUCGAAGGCGAUCAGGUACCGCCCUAGUUCUAACCAUAAACGAUGCCAGCUAGCGAUCCGCCGAAGUUCCUCCGAUGACUCGGCGGGCAGCUUCCGGGAAACCAAAGCUUUUGGGUUCCGGGGGAAGUAUGGUUGCAAAGCUGAAACUUAAAGGAAUUGACGGAAGGGCACCACCAGGAGUGGAGCCUGCGGCUUAAUUUGACUCAACACGGGAAACCUCACCAGGCCCAGACACCGGAAGGAUUGACAGAUUGAUAGCUCUUUCUUGAUUCGGUGGGUGGUGGUGCAUGGCCGUUCUUAGUUGGUGGAGCGAUUUGUCUGGUUAAUUCCGAUAACGAACGAGACUCUAGCCUGCUAAAUAGGCGUACCUUAUGGUAUCGCGAAGGCCCCCGGCUUCGGCCGGUGGGUUUUUACUACCAACGUACAAACAAAUCUUCUUAGAGGGACAGGCGG
rnacentral:rRNA from 1 species